UGUAAACUGGGAGGCAGCCGAAGAGAAGGCUAAAGUGCACGCAUCAUCUCUUUUAAGCCCCCCCAAACAAAAUUAAGCUCUUGCAAAAAAAAAAAAGUUUUCGGCUGAUGUCUGUCCUGUCCGGCCCCUCGGCAAGACAUCCGGGGGACAUGUCAGACUCCGAAGCUCACCUCUCCUGGUGCGAGGAACGCGAACAGGGGCUCAGGAGUGGGGUGACGUAGCGAUGAGCAGCGAGACGGGAGGAGGGGAGUGAUGUUUAAAACACACCAGCACGUCCGCAGGACAAACUACCUCCUCGCACAGCGCUCCCGGACCGCACGCCGGGCACACGCGGGCACCGAGCUCACCGCGCCCGCCCGCGGCACCCACACGGAGACCGCCGCCGCCACCACUUGGUACAGAGAACAGGGAAGCGUGACCCUGACUCAACAAUGACAGUCCCUGGACAACAGGCGACAGAGCUACAGCCAGGCAGGAACUUCAAGAACAAGCAGCCCAGCCGGCGCAAGGAUAACACUACGCAGGGGUGAAGAAGCGGAGCACAAAAACCGAUCAUUAUCAAGGCAGGAACUGACUCGCCUUCCUUCACAUGACAACACUGAGUCACUCCGGGCUUGACGUCACGGCUGCACCUUACGGCCGUUCUCUCGGCAAGCGCCAGGGGGCGCUGCUGCUCCUGCCGCCUUGACUGCGCAGUCUGCGUCCAGAAAUGUGUGCGUGUCUUUGCAGGCUGUUCGCCAACGCCGAUCCCAUGCAACCCACUGAACCUAAGCAGGUGUGGGC